UGUCGAAACCUAGGAUCGAACCAGGGACUUUUAGAUCUUGAGUCCAAGUCUCUCCCAACUAAGCCAAUUCAGC